UGUAGUCAAAAGGCCUGUGGGUCUGGGCUGGCGGGAAAGUAGUAGAGUCAGAAACAAGCUAAAGUCAAUAAAUCUAAGGGAGGCAACCAUUGGAAUAGGACAGGAACUGGACAGCAGAACAGGAGCAAUUAAGAAAGGAGUCACAGCAAACUGUAGCAAACUGCUAGGGUUCUCACUGGGGCUUUAUAGACUGCUCAGGUCAAGUGACCAAUUCCAAUCUGUGGGUGGUGCCAAGGUGAGGUCCAUAAAUAAAACCUAUGGACUCAGCACCAUCUUGAACCUCUAUGAACCUCCCUGCAGCUAUAUGUCCUUCCAUUUCACAGCAGGAACUACCGGUGGUGCCAAUGUGGAAGGGCACCAUGGGACCAUUGAGAGCCGGACCUACUGGGGGCCCUGUCUGCUAGCACUGACCUCCACUAGAAGCUCUGUGCUGUUGGUAAUUACACUAUGAAAAAUUCUGGGAAGUGACAGUUCUGUAUUAAUGAUUUUAAAGUAGAAGCUAUAAAAUAAUAAAAACAUUCUUUGUAUACUGCAUAGGUAAAUUCCUAAGACUUUGUGUAUUUUUUGUUUAUCCAGAACCAUAUACAGGCUAUGCACUUUAUCAUCAGAAAUAAUACACUGUAAAAAGCAAGACAACUGCUU